rnacentral:rRNA from 1 species
UCCUACGGGGGGCAGCAGUGGGGAAUAUUGCACAAUGGGGGAAACCCUGAUGCAGCGACGCCGCGUGAGUGAAGAAGUAUUUCGGUAUGUAAAGCUCUAUCAGCAGGGAAGAAAAUGACGGUACCUGACUAAGAAGCCCCGGCUAACUACGUGCCAGCAGCCGCGGUAAUACGUAGGGGGCAAGCGUUAUCCGGAUUUACUGGGUGUAAAGGGAGCGUAGACGGCAGCGCAAGUCUGAAGGGAAAUCCCAUGGCUUAACCAUGUAACUGCUUUGGA